rnacentral:lncRNA from 1 species
GCGCCCCCCGGCGGGCGGAGCCCGGCGCCGCGGCCAGGAUUUCCCACCUCGCUCCCGCGACUCCGCUGCGGGUCUGCACACCCGAGGACUCGGGGUACUUAACCGAAACUAGCAAUCCCAGGCGGUACAAGGCCCUCCAUCGUAGGCAAAGCACUACCUGAAUGUAGAUUUGGGCCAUACGUUGGAAAAUAAGACAUGAGAGUAUGCUCCGAUCAACUUUUACUGUUCACUGGACAACUAUUUUGGGAAUUUGCAGACCUAUAAAGCCCAUCUAUAAAUCUCAAGCAUGUCCACUUUCAGAGAAGAGAAAUGCUGACAACCAUUUAGUCUCUGAGGACAACACUUUUAAAGUUAUACAGGACUCCAUCAUAGGACUGGAGAGAGAUUGGAUGUCAGAGUGAUUGAUGUGCUCCUACUGGAAGAAGGCAAACAUCCAUAUGUGAACUGCCUGUGGGGUUUCCAAGGAAAGGAACGGCAGGCAGCCUCUAUGAGCUUAAAGAAGAUAACUGGGACUUUAGUCCUAUAACCUCAAGGAACAGUAUUCUGUGAACCAUCUGAGAAGCUUGGAAGAGGACCCCAAACUCCAAAUAAGAAGCUCAGUGUGUCUGACACCUUGACUGCAGGCUUGGGAGGUCCUGAGCAGAAGAUCCAGUUCAACAGUGCCUGGACUCCUGAUCCACAAAAACUGAUAACAAAUAUUUAUUGUUUUAAGAUGCUAAGUUUGUAGUCAUUUUUUAUACAGCAACAGAAAACUAAACACACACAUAAACAGUUAUAAGUGCUCACUGUAUAUGAGGCUUUUCAUUAAUAAUCUAUAUUUUAUAAUAGAAUUAGAAUAUAGAUCUGUGAAGCUGAAGACACUCAAUCCUUGCUAGAUUUAAAUCAGGAAAAUCAGCUGAGAAUCAUUCCUUGAUAGAACCUGGAAAACAAGACCCUAUGAGAGACCCUGGGAAUUACAUUAAAUUCACUGUGGUUCCCAGUGUCACUGAAGAGGUUUUCCUUUCAUAGUCAGGUAGUCACCAUACUGUUAAGCAUUUGAACACAUGGGCAACUUCCAGAAUAGUUAUGACAUUGAUAUACCAAUCUCCAAAAUUCCUAGAAUACCAUGUUUUCAUGGUUGACCUUCAAAUCAGUCAGUUCUUUGUAACAUUGAGCCAUAAAGAUAGGGCAAAUACUUAAUGUUUUACAUAUAUUCAGAGAUUGACCCUCAAAAUACAGCCCAGAGAAACUCAAAAGAAUUAACUCUAUUUCUUCAAAUUGUGUGACGCCACCAAGGCCAGAUGACUUCAGCAUUGGGAAGGCAAUAUCCAGCUGUCAUCUUCUUGAUCCUCAUAUGCUACUACUAGCAUCUAGCAUUUACUGAGCAGAUAGUUUUAUUGUCCAGUUUUUAAAGAUAAGAAAAUUGAGGUAUUAGGAAAGUUAAGUUGGUUGCCUAGGGAAACACGAAGAUAUAGCCCAGAUUCACUCCCAGGCAGGCAGAUGCCAGUGUCUGCUCUCUUUACCACCGAAAUAUCCUGCUACAUGUACAAUUUCAAUAAAUAUCUGGACUUACUGGAACAAAACAAA